rnacentral:rRNA from 1 species
AGAGUUUGAUCCCGGCUCAGGACGAACGCUGGCGGCGUACCUAAUACAUGCAAGUCGAGCGGACUUUAAAAGCUUGCUUUUAAAGUUAGCGGCGGACGGGUGAGUAACACGUGGGCAACCUGCCUGUAAGACUGGGAUAACUUCGGGAAACCGGAGCUAAUACCGGAUAAUCCUUUUCCUCUCAUGAGGAAAAGCUGAAAGACGGUUUACGCUGUCACUUACAGAUGGGCCCGCGGCGCAUUAGCUAGUUGGUGAGGUAACGGCUCACCAAGGCAACGAUGCAUAGCCGACCUGAGAGGGUGAUCGGCCACACUGGGACUGAGACACGGCCCAGACUCCUACAGGAGGCAGCAGUAGGGAAUCUUCCGCAAUGGACGAAAGUCUGACGGAGCAACGCCGCGUGGGUGAUGAAGGCUUUCGGGUCGUAAAACUCUGUUGUUAGGGAAGAACAAGUACCGUUCGAAUAGGGCGGUACCUUGACGGUACCUAACCAGAAAGCCACGGCUAACUACAUGCCAGCAGCCGCGGUAAUACGUAGGUGGCAAGCGUUGUCCGGAAUUAUUGGGCGUAAAGCGCGCGCAGGUGGUUUCUUAAGUCUGAUGUGGAAGCCCACGGCUCAACCGUGGA